CAAGCGUUGUCCGGAAUGAUUGGGCGUAAAGCAUCUGUAGGUGGUUUUUAAAGUCGACUGUUAAAGCCCAGGGCUUAACUUUGGAAAAGCGGUCGAGCACUUAAGAACUUGAGUUUGGUAGGGGUAGAGGGAAUUCCUAGUGGAGCGGUGAAAUGCACAGAGAUUAGGAAGAACACCGACGGCGAAAGCACUCUACUGGGCCAUGACUGACACUGAGAGAUGAAAGUUGGGGGAGCGAAGAGGAUUAGAUACCCUCGUAGUCCCAACCGUAAACGAUGGGUACUAAGUGCUGGCAACACCAGUGCUGUAGCUAACGCGUUAAGUACCCCGCCUGGGGAGUAUGCUCGCAAGAGUG
rnacentral:rRNA from 1 species